rnacentral:rRNA from 1 species
GACGAACGCUGGCGGCGUGCCUAAUACAUGCAAGUCGAACGCAGUGGGGACGGGUGCGUAACAAGUGGGUAACCUCCCAUCAGAGGGGAUAACACUUGGAAACAGGUGCUAAACCGAUACUGAUGGAUGGACCCGCGGUGCAUUAGCUAGUUGGUGAGGUAACGGCCCACCAAGGCCACGAUGCAUAGCCGACCUGAGAGGAUGAUCAGCCACAAUGGGACUGAGACACGGCCCAGACUCCUACGGGAGGCAGCAGUGGGGAAUCUUGGACAAUGGACGAAAGUCUGACCCAGCAACGCCGCGUGAGUGAAGAAGGUUUUCGGAUCGUAAAACUCUGUUGGUAGAGAAGCGGUAUCUAACCAGAAAGCCACGGCUAACUACGUGCCAGCCGCCGCGGUAAUAC